GAUGAACGCUAGCUACAGGCUUAACACAUGCAAGUCGCAGGGUAACAUGAGGAAAGCUUGCUUUCCUUGAUGACGACUGGCGCACGGGUGAGUAACGCGUAUCCAACCUUCCCAUAACUACGGGAUAACCCGUUGAAAGACGGCCUAAUACCGUAUGAUAUCUUUUGCUGACAUCAAAUAACGAUUAAAGGUUUAGCGGUUAUGGAUGGGGAUGCGUCUGAUUAGCUUGUUGGCGGGGUAACGGCCCUCCAAGGCGACGAUCAGUAGGGGUUCUGAGAGGAAGGUCCCCCACAUUGGAACUGAGACACGGUCCAAACUCCUACGGGAGGCAGCAGUGAGGAAUAUUGGGCAAUGGGCGAGAGCCUGAACCAGCCAAGUAGCGUGCAGGACGACGGCCCUAUGGGUUGUAAACUGCUUUUAUGUGGGGAUAAAGUGCGUGACGUGUCAUGCAUUGCAGGUACCACAUGAAUAAGGACCGGCUAAUUCCGU
rnacentral:rRNA from 1 species